CAGCCGCGGUAAUACGUGGGUUGCAAGCGUUGUCCGGAAUUAUUGGGCGUAAAGAGCUCGUAGGCGGCUUGUCACGUCGGAUGUGAAAAACCAGGGCUCAACCCUGGACCUGCAUUCGAUACGGGCUAGCUAGAGUAUGGUAGGGGAGACUGGAAUUCCUGGUGUGGCGGUGAAAUGCGCAGAUAUCAGGAGGAACACCGGUGGCGAAGGCGGGUCUCUGGGCCAUAACUGACGCUGAGGAGCGAAAGCGUGGGGAGCGAA
rnacentral:rRNA from 1 species